UUUGUUUCGCCUUCCUUUGAACCCUCUGAAAAGCCCGCUCUCAAGGGGUGUGUUGGGCCUGCCUUUCAAGGUUACUGAACCCAGAAUCCCCUGUUGUUUAGCAACAUAGAAAGCUGACCUUAAUUGACUCCACUUCUGAGCAGGCUUUGUAAAUCACUCUGCCCCAGACUGAAAUUUCCUGAUGGCGUCUGCAUGAGCUAUGGAGUGUCCCUACAUAGGCUUCCAACAUGCCAGGGCAACGUGUCGGCCUUCGUGUGGACGGUGAUGUAUAGCUCACCCUCCCUUCUCCCUGGAAUUCUCGUGAGGACCUGCCUCGGGAUUAGGAGACGUUCUUCCCAUUUUGCAGGUUAACCUCAUCAGCAGAGAGGGCUGGAGCCUGUGUGUGCAUUUCCGAGAGCAAGAACCUCAGCAGAACCUCAGCAGGCUUAGUUUUCUGACUGCCACUGUUCAGGAAAUGUCAACGCCAUGGAGGAAAGGAAAGGCAACAUCUUUCCAUCCGCAGGUGCUGGAGACGCGUCUGUAACCUGGGAAUCCAGAACCGAAUCCGAGAGGCGUUUUCCCAUCAGCCUGGCACUGCGGCUCCGGUGGAGCUGGCAGCGCUGCACACUCAGAAUGAGACUGGACUUGCCCCGGGGGACUCGGGGACCGUGCUGGGCUGUUACUUCACGCUUCUAUGUCUGCUGCGUCCCAGCGCCUCUCCAGCGCUAUUGGAAUAGAACCUCCAGCUCCCCCACCAGCCUGGAAGCCCCAGGGAGGGAGCAGCAUUCACUUUUUCAGCCACACGCCCCAGUCUCCUCACUUAUGGAGAUGCAUGCCCGUGUUGAAUUUUCUCAGCACCCCUCUUCGAUGUUCCAGCAGCCACCACUCCAGAAGCACAUCAAACUUGGGUUCCCUUCCUUUCCUGUUCAAAGUGAGGCAGUCCACAAUUAUUUGUAGGGGAUGUCAAGAGUCCAGAAAAGCUGACUUGGAUAGAACAAGAUGUGUUAGCGUGCAGCUUGCUAAUGCUUGUACCUUCUGUGGUGGAAGCAAAUAUGUUUGUGAAACAAACAACCGCUACAGAACAUGCACCCUCUACAGAACACAAUAUUGAGAAAAGACCCUUGGGCCCAAGUGUAAGAUAAGGAACAAAACGUGGAAGAGGCAUGUCCAGAAAGAACCGGCAGAAAUCAGGAAAGCUCUGUGCUGUUUUUGCCUCUGACACCAACAAGCUCUGUGACCUUAAAUCAGUCACUUCCGAGACCUGUGCUUCUUAUUUAUUAAUUGAUUCAGUGAAGGGACUGGGACCAAAUUCCUGGUCCACGUUACUACAGUUUCAGAAUGGAUUUGGGGGACAUGGAAUAGUCAUGAAACCAGAUUCUUGACUGAGGACGUUGCCUUAGGCACCGGACCAAGUACCGUUAAUUUCCACUUCAAAACAAUUGACUUUUUGGAAACUCGGGGUUCCCUCAAUUGCAGAAGAGGGCCUGAAUAAAUGUGACAUUCUGACUGUUACCUGCUUCAGUAACAAUUGCUCAUGCACUUGCAGUCUCUGUUGGGUUGGGGUCUGGAGGUCCAUACUUCUUGGAAUUUUAUUUUAAAAAGAAAAGAGCCUUUGGAAAACAACCAACCCUUCCUAACAGGCUCAUCUUUCACCGGAGCUGGAACAGUGUAAACAUGACUGCGUGAGGCUCCAUGUUUAUGUUUUCUCAAUGACUUCCAGAUCAAAUUUGCUGUGUUUACAAGUUGGAGACACUUUUUCUAACCGCCGGCAUUGCAAACUCCAACCGGGGGCCCAACGCCCCAGCUGAGUUCUUUCUGCUUCCUGGUUUGUGACAAUAUCUCCAUGAUGUCCCAGCAGGAAGAGUGCCCGUAUACUCUGUUUUUUUCCAUACUUAAAUGGAUCAAGAUGCCAGGUUAUUACUAUUAUUAUUUUAAACUUGAAGCCUUAGGCCCAGAGGUGAGAUGCUGACUGUGGAGGGGACUCCCCGACCAUGCUUGACCAUUGCUUGAAUGUUCCAUGAGCCUCCCCCAGUUCUUACCUCAUGCAGAUCCCGUGAUCUCACUUUGAAGUUGCUCUUAGGUUCCUUGAACCACGGGCAGCGUUAAACUGAUGCUGGAAACCCUGGGUGCCGGGGAGCUUGCAGGGCGCCUGUCAGUGCUCCAACUUCAGACAACUGAGGCCUUGACUCUCUUCCCUUCAUGAAAAACAGUACCCACUAAAAAACCCUUUUACUUCCGCUCAGGCUGGAUUUAAUGCUCGUAAGAGAUGGUGCUUUCACCAGUGACAUCCACGUGUCAAAAGCUGUCCCAAAUCUCAGUUUCCACCCGCAGGUGAUGGAGUGCACUGAACCAUCUGUCACCUCCCUCUGUGGCACUGAGAAGAAAGAGGGGACCUGGCUGAGGAGCCUCUACCACCAGUGAGGCCUGCUAGGCCAUGUGACCUUGGCCAAGUCUUUGGCUCCGUGAUGUCCAUUCUCCUUCUCUGCCCUCUUGCCUCUGAGUUUCCACAGGACGGGGCAGGUGGGAAGGACUUGGUGCCCAGUCAAGCUCCAGGGAGGCGAAACAUUCCCUAAUCAUCAGGCUCAAGGUUUUAGGAAGGUGGCGCAGGCUGUUGCCAUGCAACUAGGGAUAAAAACAACAACAAAAAUUUGUUUUAAUCAUGAACAUUCCUGAAAUGGAUACAGUGCAACCCACUGACUGUCUCUGCAGCAUCCCGGUCCCCACUGCCUUUUAAAACAUUCCGCCAUUACUGUGGCCAAGAGGAAAAGAGGAAUCUUUAGCUAAGCUAUAGUAGAGGUGUUCUGGGGGAAAUAAGCAAAUGAAAAUGUUAUUACCAGGACACUCAACCUAAAUCAAUUUUAAUGAUCGUUCCUAUUAGAGGUUGUGAUUUCUAAGUUCGUAUUCGUGGCCCACCCACCACACACACACACACACACACACACACACACACACUUCCUUCUUUCCUUCCCUCCCUUCCCUCCCUUCCCCUCCUAUUUUCUCUCUCCCUUCCCCUCUUCCUCCCUUUCUCUCUCUCUUUCUGAUUUGAUUUCAAGUGUCUUAUUAGUACUUAAAAAUUCUCUUGAACUUGGGUAAGUAAAAAUAUUUUUUAAAAGCAAAAAAAAUUUACAAAGGAUUCAUACAGGAAUCGGAUUAUGGACCUUUGUAUUUUCAUAUUUCUGCAGCUCAAUACAGGGAGCUCUUCUGGCUGUUGAUCAAAUAAAGCCUCAACCUGGGUCUGAAGGAGAUUUCAUAGUUCUGGCUCUGGUGUUUUGCUGUGUGGCCUCUGGAUAGUCACUUCCCCUCUCUGGAUCACAGCCACCUCAUUUAGAAAUUCAGGGAUUGGAUCAGGUGGUCUCUGAAGUGCCUUUCAGACUUAAAUUUCUUCCUAUAAAUGUUGUUCACAUGAAUAGAACCCAACAUCGGAACAAUUAAUAAAUAAAACCCACCCUCUCCAUGCCUUUUAACUUAUAAAGCAGACCAAUAAAGGUAAAACUGCUUAUAUUAUAAAAAUUUUUUUAAAUAGCUGCUUCAUUUUAGAAAUAAUUUGAUUUACGUAUAGCUUUUCAAAUUCUCAAAUACCAGUAAUUGAUAAAUUUCGUCUAGUUGGACAUUUCAGUGAUGGUUCUUUAUCCUUAGCAGCUGACCCUGCCACAUCCAUCAGACAAAUUCCCAAGAAACACUCCUGUAAUGCUCAGUUGAAAUCUCUAAUGGGCCUGAGCAAAUCAGACCUAAUGUUCACUCUGGUGAGCAGUCACUUUGAAAGCAUGUGUUGCUUUCUAAUUAUCAUUUUAUUUCUACCAUUAGCCACAUUGGAAAUAUAAAUCACAGCUAAUAUCCUUCAGAAAGAUGGCUAACCCCUCCCCCAAGAGUUGACCAUCUUCACAUACGAAAGGGGAGCCGGGGACAUGGUGGAAAGCAUCGGGGAUACAGAGUCAAGGAAUCAUAAGUGAUGUGACCUUGAAUAAGUCACUUCCCCUCUCUAGGUCUUGGGUUCCCCAAGUGUAAAUGGUCCAGGUCACUGGGAAGGAUCCUUUGGCCCUACUAGGGACUGAAUGCUUGUGUUCCUCAAAAUUCUCCUAAAUUGAGACCUAACCCCUAAGUGGUGGGAUUAGGAGGUGAGGUCUUCGUGAGAUAACUAGGUGUCUUACAUUUUCCUGUUGCUAUAACAAAAUACCCAAGACUGGGUAAUUUAUAAGAAUAGACUUUACUGCCACACAGUUCUGAAGCUAUGAAGCCCAAGAUCAAGGCGCUGGGAGUUUUGGUGUCUGGUGGCUGUUUUCUGGUUCCAAGAUGGCACCCUGGUCCUGUGUGGCACAUUAGGACAGAAUUUGGAAAGACAACAGGCCUAUUCCCUCUAGCCUUUUCAUAAGACAUUAGUCUCCUUUGUGGGGACCAAGUCUCCAUGGCCUAAUCACCUCCUUAAGGCCCUACCUUUUAAUACUGUUGCCGUGGCGAUUAAGGUUCCACAAGCAUUUUGGAGAGGAUGUGAACAUUCAAACUGCAGCCCUAGGUCACGAUGGCAAAGACCUCUUGAAUAGAAUUAGAGCCCUCACAAGGGACUGGGAAAACCAAAUUUCUCUCCUGCCACAUGAGGAUCUAUAGAGAGGAAGCAGGCUCCAUCAGAAAGCAUGCCCUCACCAGUCACUGAAUCUGCCAGCAUCUUGGUCUUGGACUUCCCAGUCUCCAGAACAGUGAGAAAUUUCUGCUGUUCAUGAGUCACCAGUGUGUGGUAGCUUGUUUAUGGAAGCUGAAUGGACAAAGGCAGGUCCUGAUGUCCAAUAAUCUCGUCAGUCACUGGGAUACUGGGUGUAGGAAAAUUAUCCCUCCGUAUUUCUGAUGACUGCCUCCUUCACGCAGUUCAAGCAAGCAGGUGUACACUAGACCUCAGUCAUUGUGUCCUUUAGCUUCAGAAGGGAGAUGAUAUUAUUUCCUAGAAAAUCCUGCAAGAUAUACAUGACCGUAUGACCAAUGUGAUUCUGCAACCUGUAUAAUCAUAAAAAUAAGAAAUUAUACCCCAUUUGAUUCAAGUGUAUGAUAUGUCAAGAUCAUUGUACUGUCAUGUGUAACUAAUAAAAAAAUAAAAUAAAUAAAAAUAAAAUAAAAUCAUGCAAGAAUAAGACAUGGCUAUGGUGAGGUUGGUUUCUGGGUCCUGGGCAAGUAGGUGAAAGGGUUCAAUUUCUCUUUAUCUUAUUUAAUUAUAUUCUCAUUUAUUUUGAGACACAGUCUGGUUAUACUGCCCAGGCUGGCCCCCAACUCCUGGGCUCAAGCAAUCAUCUUUCCUCUGCCCUUGGGUAGCCGGGACCACCAGGUGUGCACUCCUGUUUCUGGUUUUCAAGUUCUUGCUAAUGGUGUAGGGAGGAGCUUUACAACUUUUUGAGAUACAAAGUCUUUUUUUUUUUUAAUGAGUCUCAUAUAUCAGCUUAAUAUAUGUCCCAGGAUACACAACAAAUAAAAGUGGCAUUUUGCAGGCAUACCUUAUUUUGUGAAGAUUUACAAUAUUUAUUAUAAGUUCAACUGGAGAAUGUUUGUUUUGACUAACCAAAAUUUGAAAUUAGAGCAUCCAGUGACAGUUGCCUGUCUUAUCAGUCCCUGCAUCUGAUAACCUGCACUUUGUUGUGCCGUAGCUUUCCAGGUUGCAGAGGAUACUCUUCCAGAAUUCAGAGUGUAAACUUUUUGUUCUAAGGUCAACCCCCAAAUGAGUUACAGAUCCCUGUUAUUGGUUUCUGAUGUGUUAAUAAUAUAGUAUAAUUCAAUUGAGUGUGCAUAUUAUUUCUUGUUUAAGUUUAAAAGAAAGUUCUAACUCGUAUAAAAAAAAAAUAUAGGUUUAACUGUGAUGUGAGUCACUCGUGAGGAAUGUCUUUGGACUGUGGACCUGGAGAAUUCAAAGGGUCUGAGGCAGCCCUGCUGGGGAUAGACAGGAUCUAUGUUGUGGGCCAUACUGAGGCAGGGAGAAAGGCCCAGGGUGAGCCGCAAGCAGACAACAUGCAGCCCCAGGGUUCUCAAGCCCCACGGGAUCCUUCAGUUUCUUGCCUCUUGUGGUAUCCUAUUCCCUCAGCUGAAUCAAAACAAAACAAAACAAAAAAAUGGUAAGACUCUUGCCUCCCUUCAGCAGGCUCCAGACCACACCUGGAAAGGUCCUCGAAGCCAACGUGUUAGAGGAAACAAGGCAUUUCUCUGAGCCCACCAUGGAGGUAGGAGUGGUGGUCUUCAGAAGGCUGCAAGGUCUUCCAGCUGCCUUCCACAGGCCCCAGCCUCCACCUAGCCAGUCUCCUGGUGUCGAUGCUGGAGGAUCUGGGUUUUAUUUUUAGUAAUUAUAUUUCCUAAUAUGCCAGUGGGCCAAGUUUUAUACCAGGCACUGUGGGUCACAGGGACAAACAGACUUAGGGCUGAGACCGGAGCUCCUAGGUCCUUUCAACUGAGAAAGAAGCUGGAUUCUGUUAUCCUUGAAGAUCAUUUUCAGCAUUAACUUGUCUCCGAGAUCUUUGAGCACUAAUUCAUUUUUCUCAGUCCCAGUAAGAUCUAUUUAAAUGUUCACAUUCUUCAACCCCACAGCCACCCCAAGCAUGAGUGGUAAAGUCCGCUCCCCUGUGUCUGCUGGUGAUUGAUGGCCCUGCUCUCUCUCUUUGUAUUCCUUGGGCAGUAAGUUUAGAUCCUGGAUUGUUUCAAAGUGGCAAGGAGCAGUCAGCAUGGGGUGUCUCUGAAAUCUUAGAGACAUCAGGUCACGUGCUAGUAACAUCAUACAAUAAAGAAAUUUAAAAAAUAUAUAAAUAAAAACAACCACCAUCAGAAUUCUCUAAUAUUUUAGUCAAGGCUGAAGCACUGAGGACUAGAAUCCUGAGGGAAAUAAUAUUGCAAAGGAGGAGAGGGAGGAAGAGAGGCAGCAAUGCUAUCCGAAGCUCAUCCACUAUUUCUUCUUUCCCAGGGUCUCCAGCAGUAGGUGGGACUGGGAGCCCUGCUCUCUGUGUCCUUGUGACUUAGCAAGCAAUUUUCUCUGAACCCUCAAACUUCUGGAGAUUGUUAGAGGUGUUGAUGGCUUGGCAGAUGAGAAGCGGUCCAUGAGGAAUUGUCUAUAUUUCAGCGAGGCUAGUGGUACUCUUUUAUUCGCCUGUGUGGUGACUCACGCAGACUCGGAGCAUAGCAUUGUGCUUGCUCCUUGAUGGAGCUAUUUGGUGUCUGUGAACCUCAGUGCCCUCCUCUGUAAAAUCAGGAGAUUAACAUCUUUCUCAGAGUGUCACUGGGAUUGGCCAUAGCGAGCCCUCUAUAACAGAUAGCUGCUAUUGUUAAUGGUUUUGCUUAAUGAAAAAUGAGAAAUGGAAUGAUUACCUAAUAAAAGCAGCAUGUGGGUAGACAAAAGCCUAUCAAAAUUUGUAGCUCUGAAGAGUUGUAAGUGAUGAAAAGCCAGGACCUUUUACACCAGGUGACCCUAAGAUUUUUCAUUUUUAAACUGGUGCUGUAGAGUGGACAUAAAGGCAUGAUUAAAUUUUAAUUGGGAAACUUUCAUUUCAUUCCCUUGGGCUGAUUAUGCAUAUCCACUGAUGUCAUAAAACUCAAGCCUAGGACCAUAGUGCAGGCCACAUGCCCCAUGGUGACCUCCUUCUAAGCCACCUCUGGGUCCUCUAGAUUGAAAACUGUUGAUUGAGAAGGGCAGAAACAAUACCCUCUGUCACGAUGGCUACAGAUCCCAGUCAAACAGGACAGUGUUCUAUUGAUUCACUCACACACCCCAGCCGGGGACAUCAGUGAUGUGGGUAAAAUGGGGGAGAUCUGAGGACAGUUCACCUGGGACUGAAGGUUUCAAUGACACCACCACCCAGUGGUGGUGGGUCAGUGAAGGCUAUUCUCAGAUUUUUGCUAAAACUCUUUAAUCUUGUUGCUACCCUUUGUUUCUGGAGCUCUUCUUGGCAAUAUGUUGAAACAUGUGGUUUUUCUUCUUCAAAAAAAAUAUUGAGUACCUAAAAUGGCUAAAAAAAAAAGUCUAUUAAAGGUAUUAUGUGUGUGUGUCGUGCUGAAAACAGGGCCAUGAAACAUAAAAUAUGGUUCCCAAUUUUUUUCAUAAUAAUGCAUUCCAUGAUUCCAAGGCUAGAGCUCUGUACCUUAUAUGGUUUUCCUAUUUAUUAAGUCCCUGUGGAAAUGUCCUGAGGAAUGCCAGCCCUCCUCCAGCCCUCCCUCCCAACCCAUGGCCCACCACCCACUCAGUUGUAAUGGACACACUGUAGAAGGUCUCUCUUAGGCUGCCAUGAAUAACAAGCUCUGUCUUUCUAUACUUGAAGACUUCAGCUUAAAAAAAUUGGAAUAAAUUCAUUUUUUUCUUUAUGAGACACUUGAAAUGUAAUAGUUCAUUGAAGGGAGGGGGAAACUCAUCGCUGAAAUCCAUUUAGUGUUAGUCUUGACAAAAAUGAAAGGAAUGGAGAUUAACAAUUCAAAAAUGGAGCUUGUUAAUUAAAAUUAACUACAAUUACACAACUUGUCAUACAGCUCCCUGGGAUCAUUUCUCUCCUGCUUAAUUAUGAUGAUGAAAAACUUACCUUUUACUGGGAUAAAAUGAAGUCAUCCUUAUCACAGAGAAAAAUUGUUUCCCAAGGCUGGCUGCAGAAGUAAUGUUUCUUUAGAAUUGGGAAAAAAAAAAAA